ACUUUGAGAAGCUUACCUUCAAUUAAGAAUUAAAGUUGUUAUUACUCCCUUGAUAGAUGUGCUGAGUGCUCUAAAAAGCACACUAACAUAAUCAGGAAGGCCAAGUUUCUGAUGAAGUCACAAAUGGAGGAUGCAUAAUCAUCUGAAAUUACAUUGAACCCCACUUACUGUAAAAGAGGUGAAAAAUGAAACAACAUUGAUAUACUGUUUUUUUACUUGUUUAGGUUGGAAAAAUCCAAAAGUUUGACAAUAUAUUUUGUACCUGAGAGGAAGUAAUUGUUCUCAUCUAUUGCUGUGAAAUAACAAAAUGGUAAAAUAGCAAUUUGGAUGAGUCCUCCACAAGAUUAAAAGGAAAAGACUCAUUUUCAGCAGAGACACUCUUCAGAUUCCCCAGGAAAGUGCAAUUGGAGCAAUACGUUUGGGAAUCUUUUCCAUGGAGUUACAAACACAAGUCAAUAAUUCAGAGGACAAUUGGAGUUUCCUCAGAACUGUUCAAAUUUUCAGAAUUGAGAAUACAAAAGGAUAACUUGACAAAUCAGGAACACAAAAUACUUCUCUCCUUUUGAUUGAUAUAACACAUCUGCAAGCCUUCACCCAAUCUUCGGAAUAGAUUCCCAUUUCAAACAAAGGAAACAGAAGAAUCUUAUUCCUCCACCAAAGAGACUCAAAGGAAGAGAUUCUUCUCCUAAAAUAUAUGGUCCUUAUAUUAUCCAGCAACUUGUAUGAUUGAACAUGUUAAUCAAAUACUUAAAUGAGAGCAACUCUUUAUGAACCUUGAGAAAAAAGAAUCAAGAUUGUUAAGGGAUAUCUAUGAGCAAUUCAUUAACAUGUUCAGUGGAAAAGUCAAACUUCGGAUGUGUGGACUCUAAAGAAACAGUUCAUCUCUCAACAAAAUACUGAUAUAGCAAAGA